CUGAGGAGAACAAGACGCUCGACUGAUACGGUUAACCUAGGUAACAGCUAGAGACCGACCACAGACGGGCGACGAGUGAGCCGCUUCCUGUGUGGACGAAACUUUAAUGUGCAGUUCUAAACCUUCCUCUUCCAUCAAGACGCUCUAAAACUCCUAAACUUUGGAACAGCCGGAUCAGCAGUUUGCUUUAAACCCAUCUUUGAGAUGGAUCUUCUUCACCAGAAGCCUCUUUGUGCCAUCUUGGCUUGAGCUGGACUAAAUGAAUUUAAAGAGGAAGCACUCACUGGAUCAGCAGGCCCGCAGAACUCCCUGAAGGUCUGGGGUGCGUCUGUGCCAUGAAUCUCCAGGACCAUGCAGGGGCCAGAGCACAGCUCGGUCACCAUACUCUGCAAGAAGGGAGUCGAGUUAAAGCCCAGCCAGUGGUUUCAUUGAUGGGUGUAUUUUAAAAACAAAUAAAUCACAGUUUUUCCUGCUAAGUAAAAAAUAUUGAAAAAUCUGUUUCUGUAAUUGGAUUCGGCCGCACUCCUCUUCCUGUUGUGGGUGAAUAUUUGUGGGUGUCCAAAGACUCGCACGAGUAACGUGAGGAGAAACGUUGCUUUGUGUCUGACGUGAACGCACCGCGAGCGCAGUCUCGUUAUUGGAGCCGACACUAAAGCCUCUGACCAAACGCCAGUAUUCAGCACCACUGCAGUUAUUACAGAAUGUCUCCUGUCAGCUAUGACAUAACACACAGUGCUAUAUAUGAUUCAUAAAAAACUUAUUUCUAUAUAAGCGAAUGACAUGCUGUAUAUCCUCUGUAACAUGCACACAUACUUG